rnacentral:rRNA from 1 species
UACAGAGGGUGCAAGCGUUAAUCGGAAUUACUGGCGUAAAGCGUGCGCAGACGGUUGCGUAAGUCAGAUGUGAAAGCCCCGGGCUCAACCUGGGAAUUGCAUUUGAGACUGCGUAGCUAGGGUGCGGAAGAGGGAAGCGGAAUUUCCGGUGUAGCGGUGAAAUGCGUAGAUAUCGGAAGGAACACCAGUGGCGAAAGCGGCUCACUGGUCCAUUACUGACGCUGAGGUGCGAAAGCGUGGGGAGCAAACAGGG